UGGGGAAUUUUGGACAAUGGGGGCAACCCUGAUCCAGCAAUGCCGCGUGAGUGAAGAAGGCCUUCGGGUUGUAAAGCUCUUUUGUCCGGGAAGAAACGGUUUGGCCUAAUACGCUGAGCUAAUGACGGUACCGGAAGAAUAAGCACCGGCUAACUACGUGCCAGCAGCCGCGGUAAUACGUAGGGUGCAAGCGUUAAUCGGAAUUACUGGGCGUAAAGCGUGCGCAGGCGGUUUGGUAAGACAGAUGUGAAAUCCCCGGGCUUAACCUGGGAAUUGCAUUUGUGACUGCCCGGCUAGAGUUUGGCAGAGGGGGGUAGAAUUCCACGUGUAGCAGUGAAAUGCGUAGAUAUGUGGAGGAAUACCGAUGGCGAAGGCAGCCCCCUGGGUCAAGACUGACGCUCAUGCACGAAAGCGUGGGGAGCAAACAG
rnacentral:rRNA from 1 species